AUUGAACGCUGGCGGCAGGCCUAACACAUGCAAGUCGAGCGGAGCGGCGGACGGGUGAGUAAUGCCUAGGAAUCUGACUGGUAGUGGGGGAUAACGUCCGGAUACGGGCGCUACUCCCGCAUCCUAUCAGAUGAGCCUAUGUCGGAUUAGCUAGUUGGUGGUGUAAAGGCCUACCAAGGCGACGAUCCGUAACUGGUGUGAGAGGAUGAUCAGUCACACUGGAACUGAGACACUGUCCAGACUCCGACGGUAGUCAGCAAUGGGGAAUAUUGGACAAUGGGCGAAAGGGUGAUCCAGCCAUGCCGCGUGUGUGAAGAAGGUCUUCGGAUUGUAAAGUACUUUAAGUUGGAAGGCGUUACCAACAGAAGAAGCACCGGCUAACUUCGUGCCAGCAGCCGCGGUAAUUC
rnacentral:rRNA from 1 species